GUGCGGCCCCAGCCCCGCCCCCGCAGCCCCGCCCCGCCCCGCCGCGAGCGAGGGCGGGGACCGCUGCGCCUACCUGCUUUUCCCUCCAUAGGGACUUCCCAAAGGAAAGGAGGGCGUUUAGGGGCUUUCACACGCCUGAUCUUAAACACAGCGCCCUGACCCCUCCCCUCCAAAAACGGCAAAAUGUCAUUUUUGGGGGCAAAUCUAAGGUUUUCCCUACAAUUGUUCAAGCUUUCACACUAAAACAUUUACCUAAAAACGGGCAGAAAUUCAGCCUUAAACCCACAAAUCUCACGAUGGUAUGGACCCUGGGCCCACUCAGGUUUCCUGAAAACUAAACAAUUCUGGAGUUAGGGGUUUGGAGAACGGGCUAUUGUUAAAGAAAAAAGUAUUUAGUGACACUUGUUAAAGCACAAAAAGAGGGCUUUAUUCAGGACCAUCGCAACAGGUAUAGGGACCACUGACUGCAAUGGAGACUUGCAGUGGGGAAAGAGAUAUUGGGCUCAACUCCUCAUACAGCAUGGGCAAGUGGAGAUUUAUAGCCAAGGAGCGGUGGUGCAUUAGUAUUACUAUUGGGCUCCAAGUUCCUCAUCUGAAAUCUGUCUCCUCUGGAAAUACUUAUUUACAAGACGACGUUUCUUGUCACAACGCAGGUUUAAACAGCAGCUUUUAAAUGUUUACUAUGGGAAGAAUAGUCAAGGGAGUGGUGCGUUGGGAAGACAGACCAGAGUUUGCUGCUGGCACUGUUACGCAGGGACUGUUUGGCAUGACCUUCACUCCUAUUCUGGUUCUUUGGUCUUUCUAAGGUGGCCUCAAUUUCUUUAUCAGUAAAUAAGAUUAUCUCUGAGAUGUCAUUCACUCAAAUAGCCAUUUUAUAAAAAUCUACUUGCAUCUUCAACUUC